rnacentral:lncRNA from 1 species
AAUGGGUCUCUUAAGAGAUGUACUUUAUUAACCCAUUUAGGCUAAAGGUUGCAAUUUUUUGAAUUUUUAUGUGAAAUUCAUAUAUAUUACCUAAGAGAAAAAUACAAGGAACAAGAAUUUGAAGAGAAGAAUUUAUAUUAUGUGCCAUUGUUUUGCGGUAUUCCAAACCUGGAGUGCUAGGCCGGAAAGGAUGAAGGGGCUCGGCCUGUGGAGAGGAUGCAGGCAUCUGAGGGCAGCUGAUGGCCAAACCCAGACUGCAAACAAACUUGUUACAGGAGUGCAGAUACUGAGCUGUUCUGUUGGUGGCGUUCGGGGUUUCACAGUGGACACUGAACAGUGCCGCUCUCCCAGCACGUGAGGGCCAGGCAGUGGGCAGGCCCCUCCCCGCGGGCUGCAGGAUGCCGCUCUGACCGCAGUCUGGUGCGUGUAAGUAUCUCAGUGUGCUUUUCAUUCGCACCUCCUGAUUACCAUGUAAGGUUGAGCAUAAUUCAAAUCUAUGAAAUGACUUUUUAAAAAUGUAAUGAUGGAAAAUGUUUUCUAUAUUGUGGGUGUCAGGUCUUGUUGCCUUGUAUCUUUUCUCAGUUAAUUGUUUUCAUUCCUUCUGCGGUGUUUUGAUGAAGUUUUUAAGUACUGAGUUUUGGUUUUUAUGCCUUCCUCAUGCACUGCAUCCUUUGUCUUAUUGAACCCACACUGUUUCAGCAGUGCCUUAGGACUCGGGAUUCUGCUCCCCACUGCUGCCUCCACUGAAAAAGUCUAAGCCUCAAUAAAAGCUUCUGGG